rnacentral:rRNA from 1 species
AAACGCGGCGGGCGCCUUAUGCACUGCAGCGAGCGAAGCUUUCAGUAGUUACUACAGAAAAUGACUGAGCGGCGAACGGGUGAGUAACGCGUGAGCAAUCUACCUUAGUUACAGGUAUAGCCCGAGGAAACUCGGAUUAAUACCUGAUAUUCUUUAUUUCUCGCAUGAGAAUAAAAGGAAAGGUCAGCCGAACUAAGAUGAGCUCGCGUUCUAUCAGCUAGUUGGUGAGGUAAAAGCUCACCAAGGCUACGACGGAUAGCUGGUCUGAGAGGACGAUCAGCCACACUGGGACUGAGACACGGCCCAAACUCCUACGGGAGGCAGCAGUGGGGAAUCUUGCACAAUGGAGGAGACUCUGAUGCAGCGAUGCCGCGUGAGUGAAGAAGGCCCUUGGGUUGUAAAGCUCUUUCGUCGGGGAAGAAAAUGACUGUACCCGAAUAAGAAGGUCCGGCUAACUUCGUGCCAGCAGCCGCGGUAAUACGAAGGGACCUAGCGUAGUUCGGAAUUACUGGGCUUAAAGAGUUCGUAGGUGGUUGAAAAAGUUGGUGGUGAAAUCCCAGAGCUUAACUCUGGAAACUGCAUCAAAACUUUUCAGCUAGAGUAUGAUAGAGGCAAGCAGAAUUCCUAGUGGUGACGGGAAAUCGCAGAUUUUACCCCGAAUUCCCAUUGGGAAGGCAGCUUCGGGAUCAUACGGCCUGUGGACGAAGCUGGUAGGAAAGGUUAAUCCUCGUACCAUGCGAAGAGUGGUA